GGGGAUGUAAAGGUUUCGACGGGGGAUGUGACCCCUGAUAAGCGAGCGGCGGUGCGGGACCGCCAUAAAAUCCGCAACUUAAAAAUAACUGAGAAAAAUACAGUUUCUUUAGCUGCUGCUUAAUGCAGCUCGUCUCUGCGCGGAGGACCUCGGCCGCGUAAGAGGCGUCGAUCAGAGGUAAAGGUGAACAGGGCUCUGCUUCGCGCCCCGUCAUCCAUCAGAAGCUACCGACCCGCGCAGCCUGUCGUUAGGCGGCGCGGCGGGGGAAUCGCAAUAUAGCGACUGCGCUCGGAGAAAUUCACGGCGAACAUCUUUCGGACAGGAGUUCGAUUCUCCUCAUCUCCACCA
rnacentral:tmRNA from 1 species